UACGUAGGGUGCAAGCGUUAUCCGGAUUCACUGGGUUUAAAGGGUGCGUAGGUGGGCUGGUAAGUCCGUGGUGAAAUCUCCAAGCUUAACUUGGAAACUGCCGUGGAUACUAUUAGUCUUGAAUCUCGUGGAGGUAAGCGGAAUAUGUCAUGUAGCGGUGAAAUGCUUAGAUAUGACAUAGAACACCGAUAGCGAAGGCAGCUUGCUACACGAGUAUUGACACUGAGGCACGAAAGCGUGGGGAUCAAACAGG
rnacentral:rRNA from 1 species